ACGUAGGGGGCAAGCGUUAUCCGGAAUUAUUGGGCGUAAAGAGUGCGUAGGUGGUUUUUUAAGCGUGAGGUGAAAGGCAAUAGCUUAACUAUUGUAAGCCUUGCGAACUGGAAGACUUGAGUGCAGGAGAGGAAAGUGGAAUUCCUAGUGUAGCGGUUAAAUGCGUAGAGAUUAGGAGGAACGCCAGUGGCGAAGGCGAGUUUAUAGACUUUAACUGACUCUGAGGCACGAAAGCGUGGGGAGCAAACAG
rnacentral:rRNA from 1 species